rnacentral:rRNA from 1 species
CGAACGGGUGAGUAACGCGUGAGGAACCUGCCUCAAAGAGGGGGACAACGGUUGGGAACGACUGCUAAUACCGCAUAAGCCCACGGUGCCGCAUGGCACAGAGGGAAAAGGAGCAAUCCGCUUUGAGAUGGCCUCGCGUCCGAUUAGCUAGUUGGUGAGGUAACGGCCCACCAAGGCGACGAUCGGUAGCCGGACUGAGAGGUUGAACGGCCACAUUGGGACUGAGACACGGCCCAG